CACGUAGGGGGCAAGCGUUGUCCGGAUUUAUUGGGCGUAAAGAGCUCGUAGGCGGUUCGGCAAGUCGGGUGUGAAACCCCCAGGCUCAACCUGGGGACGCCACCCGAUACUGCUGUGACUUGAGUCCGGUAGGGGAGCGUGGAAUUCCUGGUGUAGCGGUGAAAUGCGCAGAUAUCAGGAGGAACACCAAUGGCGAAGGCAGCUCGCUGGGACGGUACUGACGCUGAGGUGCGAAAGCGUGGGGAGCAAACAGG
rnacentral:rRNA from 1 species